rnacentral:rRNA from 1 species
GUUAGGAAUAUUGGACAAUGGGCGAAAGCCUGAUCCAGCCAUGCCGCGUGAACGAUGAAGGCCUUCGGGUUGUAAAGUUCUUUAGCCGAUGAUUAUAAUGACUGUAGUCGGAAAAUAAGCCCCGGCUAACUUCGUGCCAGCAGCCGCGGUAAUACGAAGGGGGCGAGCGUUAUUCGGAAUCACUGGGCGUAAAGCGUGCGUAGGCGGUUUUGUAAGUUAGGAGUGAAAGCCCAGGGCUCAACCUUGGAAUUGCUCUUAAAACUGCAAGGCUCGAAUCUCGGAGAGGAUAGCGGAAUUGCCAGUGUAGCAGUGAAAUGCGUAGAUAUUGGAAGGAACACCAGUGGCGUAAGCGGCUAUCUGGACGAGUAUUGACGCUGAGGCACGAAAGCGUGGGGAUCAAACAGGAUUAGAUACCCUUGUAGUCC